rnacentral:misc_RNA from 1 species
UCAAACUUGGUCAUUUAGAGGAAGUAAAAGUCGUAACAAGGUCUCCGUUGGUGAACCAGCGGAGGGAUCAUUACGAAAAGGGAGUCCCCGUACUCUCCAACCCUUUGUGAACAUACCAUUGUCAGUUGCUUCGGCGGGAGGCCCCUGGGAGGGGCCCCGGGGCCCGGCCCGAGCCGGGCUCCCGCCGGAGGAGCGCACCCCAAACUCUUGCUGUACCCCAGUGGCACGUCCGAGUACAAACAAAAAAACAAAUCAAAACUUUCAACAACGGAUCUCUUGGUUCUGGCAUCGAUGAAGAACGCAGC